AAAAUUUGGAUAGUGAAAGAAGAAAAAAGGUGUGUAUGGAUUUAGAGCAGGGGAUUGAAAAUUAGAUAUAUAUGUAGGAUGAAUUUUUAACAGGGCAUAAAAAGAAGAAAUUGGGAAAAUCUA